AAUAUUGGACAAUGGGCGCAAGCCUGAACCAGCCAUGCCGCGUGAAGGAUGAAGGUCCUCUGGAUUGUAAACUUCUUUUAUAUGGGACGAAACCCGGGCAUUCCUGCCCGAUUGACGGUACCAUAGAAAUAAGCACCGGCUAACUCCGUGCCAGCAGCCGCGGUAAUACGGAGGGUGCAAGCGUUAUCCGGAUUCACUGGGUUUAAAGGGUGCGUAGGAGGGUAGGUAAGUCAGUGGUGAAAUCUCCGGGCUCAACUCGGAAACUGCCGUUGAUACUAUCUGUCUUGAAUACCGUGGAGGUGAGCGGAAUAUGUCAUGUAGCGGUGAAAUGCUUAGAUAUGACAUAGAACACCGAUUGCGAAGGCAGCUCACUACACGAAUAUUGACUCUGAGGCACGAAAGCGUGGGGAUC
rnacentral:rRNA from 1 species